rnacentral:rRNA from 1 species
CAGCAGCCGCGGUAAAACGAAGGGUGCAAGCGUUAAUCGGAAUUACUGGACGUAAAGCGUGCGUAGGCGGUGAGUUAAGUCUGCUGUGAAAUCCCCGGGCUCAACCUGGGAAUGGCAGUGGAUACUGGCUCGCUAGAGUGUGUCAGAGGAUGGUGGAAUUCCCGGUGUAGCGGUGAAAUGCGUAGAGAUCGGGAGGAACAUCAGUGGCGAAGGCGGCCAUCUGGGACAACACUGACGCUGAGGCACGAAAGCGUGGGGAGCAAACAGGAUUAGAUACCCCCGUAGUCCCUGUCUCUUAUAC